rnacentral:ncRNA from 1 species
GACAGAGUAGAUAUUUGCGCGUUAAGUGUUAGGAGGACGGGAAGUUGCCUCUUAAACGAAAAACUUUUUGUUUGCGGUGUAAAUAUUGCAUUCCGCUGUU